GACGAACGCUGGCGGCGUGCUUAACACAUGCAAGUCGAGCGGUAAGGCCCUUUCGGGGGUACACGAGCGGCGAACGGGUGAGUAACACGUGGGUGACCUGCCCUCAGCUCUGGGAUAAGCCUGGGAAACCGGGUCUAAUACUGGAUAUGACUCCAUGACGCAUGUUGGUGGGGUGGAAAGCCUUGUGCGGCUGAGGAUGGGCCCGCGGCCUAUCAGCUUGUUGGUGGGGUGAGGCCUACCAAGGCGACGACGGGUAGCCGGCCUGAGAGGGCGACCGGCCAC
rnacentral:rRNA from 1 species